rnacentral:lncRNA from 1 species
AAAAGUAUAGUUGUUUUUUUUUAUCAUCUUUCAUUGUUUGAGUGGGGAAUAUAAUCUUUAUACAAAUUGCUUCCUGAUGGUGUUUGUAUGGUUCUGUAUUUAUGUGUGUGAUCCUUCAUCCCGACUUUGAAUGCAUAAACUAGCUGGAUGAAGAGGUUUUGUUGUUAUUGCCUUGCCCAAAACAAGGAUUUCAUUGAGGGCUAAAUAGAUUUCUUAUAACUGGGUUCUUAUGUCGUCAGGGAAGGUUAAGAGUUCUUUAUCCUUUUUCGUAUUUCAGUCAAAUGAUGUAUCUUUUGACAUCUGUGCUAAGUGCUUCGUGAUUCCUAUCAGUCAAUUGAUGUAUUUUUCAGUCAGUGAAAUGCUAUUAUGAAUUGGAGUGGUUCCUAUUGUCCUUGAGUGAUUCCUAUCACAACAAUCAGGGAGGAAAUCCC